CUGAACUGUUGACACGAGUUGUUGCUGGUCCUCGAAAGGGGGCAUGUGCACGCUCUGUUUACACAUCCACUCACACCUGUGCACCCUCUGUAGUUCUGUGGUAUUGGGACUCUGUCCUCUUGCCGUGGCCCUACGUCUUCACACACACACCGUAAUACAGUCUCAUGGAAUGUAUGUCGUGUUUAACGCAAUACAAUA
rnacentral:misc_RNA from 1 species